CGAAGUUUCCCUCAGGAUAGCU
rnacentral:ncRNA from 3 species